rnacentral:snRNA from 1 species
AACAAUAUCUUCUGAAACCUAAG